GUGUCUUUCAGCUAAUUAAAAGGUCUCUGAUGGAAGCAAGAUACAUGCCCAGAACCUGUUUCAGGAUAUGUGAAAUGUGUCCAUUGAAGAUGAAGCAGGUUUUGAACAAAUGUGUCUCGGGGACUGUUUGUUAGCUAAUUUUUCAUCUGAGUUUCCAGCUGCACCAGCAACCUGACUAAAGAAAAAAGAAGGUGAUUUUCAAGACAAAUCCGCUCUGAAAUAGAAUAAGCAAUGCGGUGUUCGCUAUUUGUCUUUUGAGAUAAAUUACUUUAACCAAUUACCUUCAUCUGUUGCUUUGUUACCUCUACAUUUGUUUAAGUCAGCAGCAAUAGAAAAUUUGACUGAAAAUAUGAGUGCACAUCUUUAAAGUACAUUUUUCUAGUAUUUCCUAGAAAUUAAUGCCAAGCAUUCCGUUUCUGCAAUAGGGGUUUUCUAAAUGUGAAAAAAUCUUGGGACAAAGGUUAUCCAUAAAAAGUUGGCAGUGUCUAGUAAACUUAUAAGUAAUUAUUUUUCAUUAUGAGAUAAU
rnacentral:lncRNA from 1 species